UGGAAGCUAAGGCAACACCUUGAGCUCAUGUUCCUCAAACCUUUAGCUAUAAUUCAUCUGUGUGAUCAGACUAAAUGUGCUAGCCUUCGCUUCCCACAAGAAACGAUGAGACUCGGGCACUCAUGAUUCUAAUUCCAGUUGACCGGUUGUCCUUUUUUGCACCACUUUUGGGAGCAAGGAAAAUGGAACAGGAACAUUCUGAUCUCUUCACAGGAGCUAAAAAUACAGCCUUAUAUGGUUGGAGAUUUAUUCUGGAGAAAAUGGACCUGUCCAGUAAAAUAACACCAGCACAAGCAAAGAAAAAGUGGGACAAUUAAAAAAAAAGUGUAAGGGGUACCCACCAUCGCCGAGGAGG